UAGGUUACUAUCGCCUGACACUCCUGAC
rnacentral:sRNA from 1 species